GAACUUUUAAAUAGUGUUCAGACCCUCAGGGACACAUUUGCCCAAACAUCCUGGAGAGCACAAAGGAGAAAAGAGUAGGGGUCCUGCUGACAUGCUUGCUGGCUUUUAGGCACAGCUUACUGGACUCCCAAGUGCAACAAAGCUACUCCUAAUGUUACGGAUCACCUGGGCUUGGUGACCUUGCAAAUAACUACAGUGAACAAAGUGUGCUGAUCAGAGCAUGUAUAGCUGCAUGAGCUACACCUGGGCCUGGUGUGUUUAGCUGUAAAAGCUCACUCAUUCCUGCACUAUGCAUCUAAAAGACUUGUCCAGUUCUAUGACAGCAUGUGGUUUAUUUCUUGUGCUUUCCAUAAGCACUAGCAACCACCCAGACCUGCUUUACACUUCUUUUUCUUUUCUUUCUAUACUUUUCCUUUUGUUGGAAUCAUUCAAUCUUUUAGGGACAUUUUACCAACUUUAUGCUGAUGACAUUCAGUCAUAUAUCACUUUCAAGCUUCGCUAGCAGAAGGUCCAUCCUUGUUGAUUGCUUAUUCCAGGCUGGUUAGUUGCAGUCUAAUAAUGAUCUUGUUUUACAUUCAGACUGAGACUAUGAUUAUAGCUCCUCCUGAAUUACAUCCAAACAUCAGUCAAGUGAUUGCUUUCUGUUGCUCAUCUGCAAUGUCACAUGUUUGUAAUCUUGGUGCAAUAUUUGAUUCCUCUCUGGGCUUUGACUUACAUGUAAAAUCUAUUUCUCAUUCCUGUUUCUUACAAUUAAGUAACAUUUGCAAAUUGUGAGCAAUAGUCUCCUCAGUGGAA